GAGGAUUUAGCUUAAUUAAAGCAACUGAUUUUCAUUCAUUAGAUGUAAGAUAUAGUCUUGCAAUCCUUA
rnacentral:tRNA from 1 species